UCACUUCAAUCUUUGCUCCUAAACCCAAACCCCUUUCUCAUUUUCUCAAUCUUCUCCUAAAAGCCCAAAUUUAAACCGAAAGAUAACAACAACGAUUUGUUUGUAAUUAAACAAACCCCUUACAUCGCCUUGUACCAAGAAAUAAAACUGGUCGAUCUGAAUCGAUUCAGUAUGCUGAGGGUCUUACCAAGGUUGAUGGAAAAUCUGAUCACAUGGAUAAACAGUCAUAGAAGAAACAAAAGGGGU